UACGUAGGGUGCAAGCGUUGUCCGGAAUUAUUGGGCGUAAAGAGCUCGUAGGCGGUCUGUCGCGUCGGCUGUGAAAACCCGGAGCUCAACUCCGGGCCUGCAGUCGAUACGGGCAAACUGGAGUGUUGCAGGGGAGACUGGAAUUCCUGGUGUAGCGGUGAAAUGCGCAGAUAUCAGGAGGAACACCUAUGGCGAAGGCAGCUCUCUGGGACGGUACUGACGCUGAGACGCGAAAGCGUGGGGAGCGAACAGG
rnacentral:rRNA from 1 species